AAAGCAAGGCUAAGUGUGUCAUUUGUGUGGUCGCGGGAGUCGAACCCGGGGCAUCUAAUGAGUUUUGGCGUGAUAUGGCGCUGACAGAAACGCGAAGCACAAAACUCCGUUGGCGGAGUGGCGAUGUCGCUGUCAUUCCCCGCACGGCCUAAGAUUCGGCCGCCCAAAACUCUCCGUCAAAGAACGUCAAUUGGAUUUCUAAAUAAUAAAUAAAAAAAUAUUUCACACGUCAACAGGCGGUCUGAGGAUAAUUUUUUAUUUUCGAGCCGCUCACUGCAGACAAAUAAUCAGUGUGGACAUUGACGUCUGUUUUUUUCUGUCCGCAUGUUCUGUCAGUUGACGAUGUACAAGACGCAUCAUAUUGUCCUCGGUAUCCCACGUCUAACCUCUGCGCAAUAUCAAGGGAUUCGGAUUGGAAGUGGAAUGAUCAGGAAGAAUGCCUUGGUGGAACAAAUCUUCAAAGAACAAAGGACGGAAUAGUCUGCCGGAUCUUUUUCGUAGCAAGGGCAGCUUGGGAUCUCCGUCUCCGUCGCCGACCAAGUUGAGGCGAAAUUCGAACGACGAUUUAGCGCGACGAAUUGCUGAAUUUGGGUUUGGGGAUUCGCCGUCGCCGUUUCCGUCGCCUUCGGCUCAAGCGCCCAGGAGGUCUGUGGAUCAAUUUGCUGCACAGCGGCUCCCUCUGCCGCAGACUCCGACUGAAUCGACAGCGUGUAAUUCUCCGUCAAGUCACGUUAAUGGCAACUGUAAAGGGAGUAAUUAUCCAUAUUACGAUCUGUGUCGUUUGUUGCCCCUGCCUUCGCCGAAUCAAAUUUUGAGCAAAGAGGAGGGUGAUGAAUUUUUAGGGUAUGGAGUUGAUUCUCUUUCCAGUGAGAGUUCUGUGGACAGUGUCGAGGCCGUUACUUCUAGGGUUUCGAGGCAAUACAAUAAUGUGGAUUUAUGCAAGGGGCACUCUUCUAACGGGGAUAGACAUUGCAAUUCUGCUGGCAAUUGUGCAUCCAAUUUCGACAACGUUGGUCGCAAUAUGCCAAAACAUGAUUUAAAACAACAGUCAGCCCAUACUUUUCAAGACAAUAAAGUUUCUGGAAGCCAGCCUAUUAAAAUAUCCAAGAAAGAGCAGAGAGAUGGGAAUAACACAUUUAUUUUAGAAGCUAAAAGUGCUCCUACCACAGGUUUUUCGAGUCCUAUCCACAGUCCACGGAGGCUGAGCAAUGUUGAAUUUCCCUUUGUGGAAAAUGUUGAUGCUACUUUGGGACAUGAACUUGUAAUAUCUUCAUCUAAUAUAUUGCAGGGGUGGAAUUCAACAGCUGAAUUUCAAUCUCAAUUUUCAUCAAACAAAGGCAAGGCUAGUCCAGAAAGGUUUCCACAAUCAAGCCCUAAAGCUAGAAGCCCAGGACCAAGGUCAAGAAUACAUAGUGGAACUGCAUCUCCAUUACAUCCAAAGCUUGCUUCAGAUAUUUCAGCAGGGUGGCGAAAUGAGAAUUCUGUUGUUUCUGUCCAUCCUCUACCCCUUCCACCUGGAAGGCCCAUCUCAUUUGGAGCUAGUCCUUUGUCUCCCAAUUCUCCCUCAACAGGGGCCCUACGGAGUCCAGGAAGACUAGAGACAUCUGUCACUCCAGGGCAAUGGAAAAAAGGAAAGCGUCUUGGCAGUGGCACCUUUGGUACUGUUUAUGAAGGAUUCAACAGGGAAACUGGAGAUAUGUGUGCCAUCAAAGAAGUUCCUCUUAUCCCUGAUGAUUCCCAAUCUUGCGAGAGUAUCAAACAGCUUGGACAGGAAAUUAAUCUUCUCAGCCAGUUGAAGCAUCAUAAUAUUGUUCAGUACUAUGGAAGUGAAACUUUGCAGUUAGAAGAUAGAUUGUACAUAUACCUGGAGCUAGUGCCUGGAGGUUCCAUUUACAAAAUACUUCGUGAAUAUGGACCACUGCAAGAGCCCGUCAUAAGAAUCUACACCCGUCAAAUUCUUUCCGGACUGGCAUAUCUGCACAGCACAAACACGGUUCAUAGGGAUAUUAAGGGCGCAAAUCUACUUGUGGAUACUUCUGGGAGAGUCAAGCUUGCAGACUUUGGUAUGGCCAAGCAUAUAAGUGGCCCUGCAUGCCCCCGCUCAUUUAAAGGAAGUCCAUAUUGGAUGGCACCUGAGAUUAUGACACAGGGUAGCCCAGGCCAUGAUCUUGCUGUUGACAUAUGGAGCUUAGGGUGUACUAUUAUAGAAAUGGCUACGGGUAGACCUCCAUGGAGUGAAUAUGAGGGGGCAGCAGCAAUGUUUAAGGUUUUCAAGAAUGAAGUCCCACCAAUACCAGAUUGUUUGUCACUUGAGGGAAGGGAUUUCGUCAGAUGCUGCUUGAGGCGAAAUCCUGCAGAAAGAGCUACAGCAUUUAAACUACUUGAUCAUUUGUUUGUGAGAGAUACUUCACAUCAUGAGAAUUCUGAUCUUCUAACAUCUGCAACAGCUGCUAUUAAGUCUCUGGGUACAAAAGAGAAAAAUAUUUAUUCCAGUGCUGCAAUGACAUCAUCAGGAAUACAUUCAGGAAAUGGAAAGCUACAACAAUUACCUAGUGGUAGUGCUCACUCACAAAUUGGGACAUUUAUUCCCUCUUCAAAUGCUCCAUUGACACCCUGUUCUACUCUCGAGUCACAUAGCUUGUUUCCAUCACGAUCAAGUACUACAUUACCGCCAGUCCCAUUAUCAGGAAAUGCAUCAAGUCGAUAUGUUACAUCAACAUGUGGUGUGAAUGAGGUUCAUUUGAACUUAUCAGUGUUACCUAAUACAAGGAAUGGGGGAGUGGCAAUUUCUCAAAUGGUUGAUCGUUCAGAAGCUUGCAGCAAUUCCAACCUGUGUUCUCCAGGGCCUAUGUUCCAUAGAGCAGAAGUCAGUCCAUUGAGAAGGAAUUGCAGAAGUGAUGAUAUAACAUUAAAAAAUUUGGGUAGCCCGUCACAGGACUCGGACAAUAAUAGACGGCAUUAUAUUCAAGGAAUGGCACCUGAAAUUCCAUCUCAACAGCUUUCCAAGAGAGCAUCAUAUCCAAAUCCUUAUUCAUAGGAUCUUUUGAUGGUUGGCCAAACUGCCAGCUAUGUUGUUUUUAUAAAAGAUCUAAUAACUAAUGGCGAUUUGGGAGUGGAGACUCCAACAGGGUUGAGGGGCAAUGCUCCUCAUGGAGGUCUGGAGGCAAUGUCCUCAGCAGGGUCAAGGGGUGACGCCCCUUGUGGGGGUAUGGCGGCAACGCCUCCAAUAGGGUCAAGGGGCGGAGCCCCCGCCAGCAAGCCCAAAUUAAGGUUAUUCUGUAGUGUGAAUGGAAGACGUCCGUUAAGGUGAUCAAUAAUUGAAAUAGAGUGCAAACAUAUACUGCAAAGGGCAAUUGAUGUUGGAACAAAGCUGCUGAAAACCCAUUAAAUGUUUGUGGAACUAGAGAUCCUGGGUAUGUGCUAUCCAUUAUUAAGUUGCCUGCUCGAAAUAAGAUGAUAAUUGCAUUGUAAGAAAGGUUGUGACUUGGGUCUUUUAGUUUAGGUUUUUUUAAUCAGAAUUCUAGUUUUGUAAUAUAUCAAUUCCUUGUGUGCAAUCCAAUCUGAUUCUAUAUAGUUGCAAUGAAAUUUUCCCA